rnacentral:ncRNA from 1 species
GGAGAAUCCGAUUGUUUAAUUAAAACAAAGCAUUGUGAUGGUCCCUACGGAUGCUAACACAAUGCGAUUUCUGCCCAGUGCUCUGAAUGUCAAAGUGAAGAAAUUCAACCAAGUGCGGGUAAAUGGAGGGAGUAACUAUGCCUCUCUUAAGGUAGCCAAAUGCCUCGUCAUAUAAUUAGUGACACACAUGAAUGGAUUAAUGAUAUUCCCACUAUCCCUAUCUAGUAUCUAGCGAAACCACAACCAAGGGAAUGGGCUUGGAAAAAUUAGCAAGGAAAAAAGACAUGUUGAUCUUGACUCUAGUUCGACUUUGUGAAAUGACUUGAGAGGUGUAGAAUAAGUUGGAACCGUUUCGGUGGAAGUGAAAUACCACUACUUUUAAUGUUAUUUUACUUAUUUCGUGGGGUGGAGACGAGGCAUUGCCCUCGUUUUUGGCUUUAAGACACGUUUCAGUGGGUCAAUUUGGGUGGAAGACAUUCUUAGGUGGGGAGUUUGGCUGGGGUAGCACAUCUGUUAAAAAAUAACUCAGGUGUCCUAAUAUGAGCUCAAUGAGAAAAAAAAUAUCAUGUGGAGAAAAAGGGUAAAAGCUCAUUUGAUUUUGAUUUUGCAGUACGAAUACAAACCGUGAAAGUGUGGCCUAUUAUGAAAAUGAAGUUAUUUUGGCCUUAGAUGGUGGUGCAUGUUUUCCCAAUGCAUAGAUUCACUUGUAAUGCAUCUUCAAUUAAUGCAUAGCUUCACUUGUAAUGAAUAGCAAGAAGCACAUAAACUUCCUACUACAUUCAUAUAAGUUUAGCUUCUGCUACACCUUCCAUCAUUUGCCACCAACCUCUUGAUCCUUAUAAUUCAUUGAUGGAUAUGAAUUGAUACAUCAAUUAGAUGUUUGCAUGCAUUAACAUAGUUAAUUUAAAAUACGAAUUGAUUGAGUAAGAUUAAGUGGCCAAUGCAUUUGGAGUAGUGGU